GGGUUGUGAGGUUAAGCGACUAAGCGUACACGGUGGAUGCCCUGGCAGUCAGAGGCGAUGAAGGGCGUGCUAAUCUGCGAUAAGCGCCGGUAAGGUGAUAUGAACCGUUAUAACCGGCGAUACCCGAAUGGGGAAACCCAGUGUGACUCGUCACACUAUCAUUAACUGAAUCCAUAGGUUAAUGAGGCGAACCGGGGGAACUGAAACAUCUAAGUACCCCGAGGAAAAGAAAUCAACCGAGAUUCCCCCAGUAGCGGCGAGCGAACGGGGAGGAGCCCAGAGCCUGAAUCAGCAUGUGUGUUAGUGGAAGCGUCUGGAAAGGCGCGCGAUACAGGGUGACAGCCCCGUACACAAAAGCGCAUGUGCUGUGAGCUCGAUGAGUAGGGCGGGACACGUGGUAUCCUGUCUGAAUAUGGGGGGACCAUCCUCCAAGGCUAAAUACUCCUGACUGACCGAUAGUGAACCAGUACCGUGAGGGAAAGGCGAAAAGAACCCCGGCGAGGGGAGUGAAAAAGAACCUGAAACCGUGUACGUACAAGCAGUGGGAGCGCGUACCUUUUGUAUAAUGGGUCAGCGACUUAUAUUCUGUAGCAAGGUUAACCGAAUAGGGGAGCCGGAGGGAAACCGAGUCUUAAUUGGGCGUUAAGUUGCAGGGUAUAGACCCGAAACCCGGUGAUCUAGCCAUGGGCAGGUUGAAGGUUGGGUAACACUAACUGGAGGACCGAACCGACUAAUGUUGAAAAAUUAGCGGAUGACCUGUGGCUGGGGGUGAAAGGCCAAUCAAACCGGGAGAUAGCUGGUUCUCCCCGAAAGCUAUUUAGGUAGCGCCUCGUGAAUUCAUCUCCGGGGGUAGAGCACUGUUUCGGCUAGGGGGCCAUCCCGGCUUACCAACCCGAUGCAAACUGCGAAUACCGGAGAAUGUUAUCACGGGAGACACACGGCGGGUGCUAACGUCCGUCGUGAAGAGGGAAACAACCCAGACCGCCAGCUAAGGUCCCAAAGUCAUGGUUAAGUGGGAAACGAUGUGGGAAGGCCCAGACAGCCAGGAUGUUGGCUUAGAAGCAGCCAUCAUUUAAAGAAAGCGUAAUAGCUCACUGGUCGAGUCGGCCUGCGCGGAAGAUGUAACGGGGCUAAACCAUGCACCGAAGCUGCGGCAGCGACACUGUGUGUUGUUGGGUAGGGGAGCGUUCUGUAAGCCUGCGAAGGUGGCCUGUGAGGGUUGCUGGAGGUAUCAGAAGUGCGAAUGCUGACAUAAGUAACGAUAAAGCGGGUGAAAAGCCCGCUCGCCGGAAGACCAAGGGUUCCUGUCCAACGUUAAUCGGGGCAGGGUGAGUCGACCCCUAAGGCGAGGCCGAAAGGCGUAGUCGAUGGGAAACGGGUUAAUAUUCCCGUACUUGGUGUUACUGCGAAGGGGGGACGGAGAAGGCUAUGUUGGCCGGGCGACGGUUGUCCCGGUUUAAGCGUGUAGGUGUGUGUUCCAGGUAAAUCCGGUUCACUUUAACACUGAGGCGUGACGACGAGGCACUACGGUGCUGAAGCAACAAAUGCCCUGCUUCCAGGAAAAGCCUCUAAGCAUCAGGUAACAUCAAAUCGUACCCCAAACCGACACAGGUGGUCAGGUAGAGAAUACCAAGGCGCUUGAGAGAACUCGGGUGAAGGAACUAGGCAAAAUGGUGCCGUAACUUCGGGAGAAGGCACGCUGACACGUAGGUGAAGUGAUUUACUCAUGGAGCUGAAGUCAGUCGAAGAUACCAGCUGGCUGCAACUGUUUAUUAAAAACACAGCACUGUGCAAACACGAAAGUGGACGUAUACGGUGUGACGCCUGCCCGGUGCCGGAAGGUUAAUUGAUGGGGUCAGCGCAAGCGAAGCUCCUGAUCGAAGCCCCGGUAAACGGCGGCCGUAACUAUAACGGUCCUAAGGUAGCGAAAUUCCUUGUCGGGUAAGUUCCGACCUGCACGAAUGGCGUAAUGAUGGCCAGGCUGUCUCCACCCGAGACUCAGUGAAAUUGAACUCGCUGUGAAGAUGCAGUGUACCCGCGGCAAGACGGAAAGACCCCGUGAACCUUUACUAUAGCUUGACACUGAACAUUGAGCCUUGAUGUGUAGGAUAGGUGGGAGGCUUUGAAGUGUGGACGCCAGUCUGCAUGGAGCCGACCUUGAAAUACCACCCUUUAAUGUUUGAUGUUCUAACGUGGACCCGUUACCCGGGUUGCGGACAGUGUCUGGUGGGUAGUUUGACUGGGGCGGUCUCCUCCUAAAGAGUAACGGAGGAGCACGAAGGUUGGCUAAUCCUGGUCGGACAUCAGGAGGUUAGUGCAAUGGCAUAAGCCAGCUUGACUGCGAGCGUGACGGCGCGAGCAGGUGCGAAAGCAGGUCAUAGUGAUCCGGUGGUUCUGAAUGGAAGGGCCAUCGCUCAACGGAUAAAAGGUACUCCGGGGAUAACAGGCUGAUACCGCCCAAGAGUUCAUAUCGACGGCGGUGUUUGGCACCUCGAUGUCGGCUCAUCACAUCCUGGGGCUGAAGUAGGUCCCAAGGGUAUGGCUGUUCGCCAUUUAAAGUGGUACGCGAGCUGGGUUUAGAACGUCGUGAGACAGUUCGGUCCCUAUCUGCCGUGGGCGCUGGAGAACUGAGGGGGGCUGCUCCUAGUACGAGAGGACCGGAGUGGACGCAUCACUGGUGUUCGGGUUGUCAUGCCAAUGGCACUGCCCGGUAGCUAAAUGCGGAAGAGAUAAGUGCUGAAAGCAUCUAAGCACGAAACUUGCCCCGAGAUGAGUUCUCCCUGAGACUUAAAGUCUCCUGAAGGAACGUUGAAGACGACGACGUUGAUAGGCCGGGUGUGUAAGCGCAGCGAUGCGUUGAGCUAACCGGUACUAAUGAACCGUGAGGCUUAACCUUACAACGCCGAAG
rnacentral:rRNA from 1 species